CCGAGACACAAACUGUGUGCACCAGGCACCAAGAACUAUCCCCAUCCCACCACCCCAGAUCCCAAGGGAAACUUCAUAAUUACACACGUUUGGGCCAAACAUCUACCCCACAGGAAAUGGACACAUCAGCCCCUAGGGAUGAAAGAAUGAUGCAGGGCAUGGGAAAGCAGAGAAAUCUCCUGAGUGAGAAAGAAGACAAAUUCACAGAAGCCUGAGAGCCUAUAUACCAGUAGGAGAAACUCAGAAUUUCUUUUCAGGAUACUAAGGAAAUGGUGGUCAGAAGAGGCCCGGGACGGAUGAAAUUCACCAAAGUCUCUACCACAGACAUUCUCAGAUGGUCCUAAUAAAAAGAAGAAACCCAAACCAGAACUGGUGGUCCACAUUGUGAGAGUUGCUGAAUAUCAUCACAAAGCAAUAAUUAUCCAACAGCAUGCUUGGUGGCUCAACAUUCUGAAAGGCAAAUGUCAAGGGCACAUAGUCUCAACCAUGUUGCUGAUGGGAGCUCAUGUUUUUUGUGUUGGGUGGUCUUGUGUUCUGCCUGGUGGUCUUUCUUCUGCCUGCUAUGACAGCACUAAUGAUUUCAUGUACACAGUAUUCACUUGUCUCCCUUUAGUAGUGCAUGACAAGUCAUAAAAGACAGACUGCCCAGAAAUGACACUGCAGUAUUCCAGACAUUUUCUC
rnacentral:lncRNA from 10 species